GCCCUUGUAGCUUAGUAGCCAUAGCGGCGGUUUCGUAUCUUGCAGAAAGAACCGCAGGUCGAGGGUGCAACUCCCUCCAGGGGCU
rnacentral:tRNA from 1 species